GCUCCAAUGUGUCAGCUGUAGACCAGCCUGUUAAUUUCACCUGGAGGAAACAGCAGAGGCGGGUUCGACUCCCGCGUGGAGCA